GUAGGUGGCAAGCGUUGUCCGGAAUUAUUGGGCGUAAAGCGCGCGCAGGCGGUUCUUUAAGUCUGAUGUGAAAGCCCACGGGCUCAACCGUGGAGGGUCAUUGGAAACUGGAGAACUUGAGUACAGAAGAGGAAAGCGGAUUUCCACGUGUAGCGGUGAAAUGCGUAGAGAUGUGGAGGAACACCAGCGGCGAAGGCGGCUUUCUGGUCUGUAACUGACGCUGAGGCGCGAAAGCGUGGGGAGCAAACAGGACUAGAUACCCUGGUAGUCCACGCCGCAAACGAUGAGUGCUAAGUGUUAGGGGGUUUCCGCCCCUUAGUGCUGCAGCUAACGCAUUAAGCACUCCGCCUGGGGAGUACGGCCGCAAGGCUG
rnacentral:rRNA from 1 species